rnacentral:tRNA from 1 species
UCCCUGAUGGCUCAGAUGGUAAAGAGUCUGCCUGUAAUGCAGGAGACCCAGGUUUAAUCCCUGAGUCAGGAA